GUUUAUAUAUUUAAAUUAUAAAAUUUAAUUUGCAUUUAAAAGUUGAAUGA
rnacentral:tRNA from 1 species